AACGAACGCUGGCGGCAUGCCUAACACAUGCAAGUCGAACGAGACCUUCGGGUCUAGUGGCGCACGGGUGCGUAACGCGUGGGAACCUGCCCUUAGGUUCGGAAUAACUCCCCGAAAGGGGUGCUAAUACCGGAUAAUGUCUUCGGACCAAAGAUUUAUCGCCUUUGGAUGGGCCCGCGUUGGAUUAGCUAGUUGGUAGGGUAAAAGCCUACCAAGGCGACGAUCCAUAGCUGGUCUGAGAGGAUGAUCAGCCACACUGGGACUGAGACCCGGCCCCGACUCCUACGGGAGGCAGCAGUGGGGAAUAUUGUACAAUGGGCGAAAUCCUGAUCCAGCAAUGCCGCGUGAGUGAUGAAGGCCUUAGGGUUGUAAAGCUCUUUUACCCGGGAUGAUAAUGACAGUACCGGUAGAAUAAGCUCCGGCUAACUCCAUG
rnacentral:rRNA from 1 species